rnacentral:rRNA from 1 species
AGAGUUUGAUCAUGGCUCAGAACGAACGCUGGCGGCAGGCUUAACACAUGCAAGUCGAACGCUCGUAGCAAUACGGGAGUGGCGGACGGGUGAGUAACGCGUGGGAACGUGCCCUGAGGUACGGAAUAACUGAGGGAAACUUCAGCUAAUACCGUAUGAGCCCGAGAGGGGGAAAGAUUUAUCGCCUUGGGAGCGGCCCGCGUCGGAUUAGCUAGUUGGUGGGGUAACGGCCUACCAAGGCUUCGAUCCGUAGCUGGUCUGAGAGGACGAUCAGCCACACUGGGACUGAGACACGGCCCAGACUCCUACGGGAGGCAGCAGUGGGGAAUCUUGCGCAAUGGGGCAACCCUGACGCAGCCAUGCCGCGUGAACGAUGAAGGCCUUAGGGUUGUAAAGUUCUUUUACCCGUGACGAUGAUGACGGUAACGGGGGAAUAAGCUCCGGCUAACUUCGUG